CCUACGGGAGGCUGCAGUGGGGAAUAUUGCACAAUGGGCGCAAGCCUGAUGCAGCCAUGCCGCGUGUGUGAAGAAGGCCUUCGGGUUGUAAAGCACUUUCAGCGGGGAGGAAGGCGUUAAGGUUAAUAACCUUGGCGAUUGACGUUACCCGCAGAAGAAGCACCGGCUAACUCCGUGCCAGCAGCCGCGGUCAUACGGAGGGUGCAAGCGUUAAUCGGAAUUACUGGGCGUAAAGCGCACGCAGGCGGUCUGUCAAGUCGGAUGUGAAAUCCCCGGGCUCAACCUGGGAACUGCAUUCGAAACUGGCAGGCUAGAGUCUUGUAGAGGGGGGUAAAAUUCCAGGUGUAGCGGUGAAAUGCGUAGAGAUCUGGAGGAAUACCGGUGGCGAAGGCGGCCCCCUGGACAAAGACUGACGCUCAGGUGCGAAAGCGUGGGGAGCAAACAGGAUUAGAUACCCGGGUAGUC
rnacentral:rRNA from 1 species